rnacentral:rRNA from 1 species
UGGGGAAUAUUGGACAAUGGCGAAAGCCUGAUCCAGCCAUGCCGCGUGUGUGAAGAAGGUCUUCGGAUUGUAAAGCACUUUAAGUUGGGAGGAAGGGCAGUAAGCGAAUACCUUGCUGUUUUGACGUUACCGACAGAAUAAGCACCGGCUAACUCUGUGCCAGCAGCCGCGGUAAUACAGAGGGUGCAAGCGUUAAUCGGAAUUACUGGGCGUAAAGCGCGCGUAGGUGGUUCGUUAAGUUGAAUGUGAAAGCCCCGGGCUCAACCUGGUAACUGCAUCCAAAACUGGCGCGCUAGUGUAGGGCAGAGGGUGGUGGAAUUUCCUGUGUAGCGGUGAAAUGCGUAGAUAUAGGAAGGAACACCAGUUGCGAAGGCGACCACCUGGGCUCAUACUGACACUGAGGUGCGAAAGCGUGGGGUGCAAACAGG